GUAGAAUGUUGGAGCACUGAUGGGAUCUCUCUUGGAAGAUGUCCUGUUUAAUACUUUUAAUAUUUUUCUUCAGGAAGAAGUAGGAAAUACCCCUGCCAAAUUUAAGGAUGACAUCAAACCAGUGCCAUACAGAAGGUCCUGAACAGACUGAAUGAAUGAACCUUGUGAAACCGAGCAAUUUCAAAUGCCAAGUACUCGAGGGAAGGAGAAGCCCCUGCAAUGACAUAGUAACAUCAUUACCUUCUGAAAUAUCUAGGAGGUUCUCUUGGUUGAGAGCAGCUAUAACACCAGGUCUUCCAUUUGGGAAAGUAAACAAGCAGUGAAGCAUAUUAGAUUUUAGAAGCCUGUAGAAAUAUUGAAGUGGGUCAUUUUUACAAACUGUGAACAGAAAACAAACAAACAAACAAACAAAAAAAAAAACAGAAUUCACAUUACUCUUACUCAUUCAAAAAAUCAUGUCCCUGUGAGGUAUGCAUUACUGAUAUAUCAUAUCUCCAUGGGAGAUGAAGUAGUCCCUAUUAGCUUAAAGCUGUGAUAAAACUGUGAUUAUCUUCACAGUAAUUGAAAUGUUACUGUCAUACUCUCUCAGUUACAAAACGACACUGAGUAACCAGAAAAAGAAUUAUUCAUUAUUCAAGGAACUACUGUAAAAAUAAUUGUGUCUGUAUCAGAUUCUACCUGCAGCUAUCUGAGAAGACCUUAUCCACACUUUGGGAAUGACUAUUGACAUCAGUGGUUAAGCUUUUAUGUCCAGUAUUACCUGUGACUCACUUCUUUUUCUUCAUUACUGCUGGAUAUGCAAACGAUAUAGCUAAAAGUAACAGUGUUUCUUUUUACCAGUUGUGUUAGGCACAGCACUGCUAACUGGUCAAUGAAAAUGGCUCUCCUGGACUCUGGGUAUGUGUACAGAAUGAGUAUGAGAGGCUGGAGAGCAGCUCCAAGGGAAGAGAUCUGGGGGUUCUGAGUGAUGAAAGUUGAACAAAAAUCAGCAGUGAGCCCUGGACAGCCAAAAGGGCCAAGCACAUCUUGAGCCAGUGUAGUUGAGUAAGUGAUGGAGAAAUGUGGAAAUUUAUGAGUGAAUUGGAGUUGUAUUAAGCAGACAAGUUUAAUAUGCAUAGAAAGUUUCAGUUAUUUGUACAGUCUAUUAUAUACAAUGUCUCACUUGAUAACUCAUGUAGCAUAUGGUGUGAUCUGUGUUUGUGAAUGUAUCUUUUCUACUUCCUGACUUCAUCUGGUCCUUGCUGAGUUUGCAUUAGUCCUUCUCAUUAAGCUUGCGUUAGCUUCACCUCUGAGGAAAAAAAAAAUCAAAUUAAAACCAAACCAAAUAAAAAAAACCCUUCUUUUUAAAAGAGGCCAUGAGAAACAAUAACACCAAAUAGCUAUUAUGGAUUUUUAGUGAUAUUUAUAAGCCUGUCUAUGAAGCUGUAUGAAGUUGAUUAUACUUAUGUACAUCGUUAUUUACAGCAGUUUCCUACCCAUGGAAACGAUUCUUAUGUGUAUAGAUUUUUCUACAGCAGGUUUAUUCAAUAAAGUCUGAGUCACUGCUUUUAAGCUAGCAAUACCUUUUUCUUUGCUGUCCUGAAAGUAAAUGAAUAGAGAUAUUACUUUCAAGAGUAUUAACUGAAUCUCCAUUCCUUAUUAAGAAACAAAGUGUAAUUUAUUUUUCUUUUAUGUGGUCAUUUGAGCUGAGUCAUGUAUGAAUUAUUUCCUUAAAGCUAUUUCUAUCCCUUCGUCUUUAUUGCAGGGUUUCUAAUUCUCUCAGCUCCCUAUCAGUAAGGAAAAGAUAAAUUUAGCAGUAGAAAAUAAGAAAUGCCCUAAGAAGCUUUACUGAGCUGUAUACAAUUGUUCUUCCAAAAAGAAGGUGACUAUCUAAGAAAACAGAUAGUGAUUCUUCAGUUUUAUAAAGUAACGUCAAGAAUUCUUUCUAAUCUAGCUUUGUCUAAUCCAAUUCUUUUGAAAAGUCCAAUUCAUUUUGCAGUUCUUCUCCACUGUGAUUUUAAUACAUACUUCCUGAUAAUCUUCUACAGCACUAAAAAUGUGUAAGGCUUCCAGGAUGACCUUUAGGAAAAAGUAUUUUUCAGACCCAUAGAUAUUAUAUAUAUACAAAUGAGAGAAGUAGAGAAUAUGUGAAAGGAAUAACUUUUUUAGAGGCAAAAAGUGUUAAUUAUCCCAAAGGAGAUACAAAUUUUAAAUUCCCUCCUCUUCAUUGUUAUUGCUCUCCUCUAAAUGUGGAGAUGGAAGACACAGUGUAGCUUCAUAAUCAUGAUUAAAUCAAAGAUAGACUACACAGUAACUGAUGUUAAUGCUGAAAUUAAACUUUUGUUAUUAGUGUAAAUAAAUCAAUCUGAAAUGCACAAUAGGAUUUACUGUCUGACUAACACCUCUCUAGGCGUUCCAUGUCUACAAAAAUGGUUUGUACUUAUUUGUUUACCAAAAUCUGUAUGUAGGAAAUGGUCAUGAAAUGGGGCUAGUGAGAUCAUCACAGGAUGCAGUCAUUGCUAGUGGAAACUCCAUAUUCGGGAGCUCUAAGAGCAGGAAAAUAUUUACCUCUGACUAUGAAGUUUUCUUCACCAAAGAGGAUGCAAAAGUCUUUUUGUCUUUAUAGGUCAGAAGGUUCAACUUCUACUACCAUACCACUGCCUGCUUCUGACAUCAUGGGCAACAUGACAAAAUAGGAGGUUAAUAUCAUUUAAAAAUAAUGCAGGAGAUAUUUAAAGCACAUCAGAAGUACAGAGGACUCUUUUUGCAAGUUGAUACCUUCAAAGAAUCCCAAAUCCCUCAAAAGUGAAUUAUAUGGUAUAAAUAAGGUCAGAUAAGAGGCAAUAAAGACUGGUUUUAAUCAUUUAGGAAGAACAGUGUCAGAUGAAGAAAGAAAAAGAUGUGUUAUCUACACAUAUGAAAGACUCAAAUAAAUAAGGAAAUACCUUCAGGAAGCAAUAAGAAGGAUGACACAUACAUGCAGAAAGAUAAGAAGAUGGAUAAAUGGAAAUUCAUACCAAGCAGUGAUACGCUCAGGUUGCUAUUAUGGAUGGUCCUGCUUCAGCACAAGUGAAACAAACAAAACAAUAGCAACCAAAAACACAUAGAGAAAUCCAAACAUCUCUGUGGAGAAAAUGACCAGAUUGACAGUUUUUAGGUAACAGGAGUCCUGAAUAAUGGGGAGUCACAGAAAAACGUCAUGAUCUUCUGUUAAUUUUAUAAUGAAACAGAAUGAUAGUAGGUUAUGUUAUGUUUGGAAGGCUUUCUUAAUUUGCCUGUGCUUCUAUUAUUUGAGAACAUAAACUACAAACUUCCUCCAUUCUAUCAUUGUUUUGUUUUCUUUUCCAUUCCAGCUCUGAGUGUAAUAUUGAUGUGCAUGUCUUGCUUUGUCAUAGAACAAAUAUAAAUUUAUGGACAAUUAAAUCAAAUUUCUGGAAUGG
ensembl:lncRNA